AAAAAGAUUUCUGUGGACAAAUUCAUUUAAAAAAUUCUGGAUAGACAAGGACACGGGAUUCUUCGUUUCUUUCAGCUGAAGGGGGAGUCUGCUCUAGCCACUCCAUUAUACCUAGAUGUAGAGGUGCUACCAAAUUAUCUUUUGUUUACCAUUUAUUUAUUGAAUGUUUAAGUGCCAGAAAGUCUGAAAAAUGCCUUAUAUAUCCAUUCACUUGUUAAAUAUUUAUUAAGCACCUACUAAGUGCUCAAUACUUUUCAAGCACAUGGGCUAGAUCAGUGAAUAACAUCAUCAAAAUGGCUGUCCUCAUACAUCUUCAAUUCUUAUGAGAUUAAAGAUAAAGAAAACAAAUAUUAUUCAUCUUUAUUUCAGAUGAUAAAACCAAGACAUAGAGAGAUUUUUUAACUUGCUUGGGACCAAAUAGUUAACGAGUGAUAAAUCUAGAGUUGGCACCCAUGUGGCUCUCUCUGAAGCCCUACUCUAUUCUUUUUUUUUUUUUAAUAUUCUUUUGUUUUUUGUGAGGAAUUUUUAAAAAAGAUUUUAUUUAUUUAUUCAUUAGAAACACACACACACACAGAGGCAGAGACACAAGCAGAGGGAGAAGCAGGCUCCAUGCAGGGAGCCCGAUGUGGGAGUCGAUUCCGGGACUCCAGGAUCACGCCCUGAGCCAAAGGCAGGCACUAAACCACUGAGCCACCCAGGCGUCCUGCCCUACUCUAUUCUGUACAGAGCAUAUACACCUAUUUGACCUUUCCCAAGAGUAAAAACUCAGCUAUUUAUGUAUUCUGAAAAAUCUUUGGAGAAUUGCUUAUAUAGACUCAAGCUGUCAUUCAUAAAAUAGGAACUCUCUUUUAUGGAGAAUUUUUAUAGAUAAGUUUUUGUUCUAUUCUUAGUAUUUUAUUUUAUUAUUUUUAAAAGAUUUUAUUUAUACAUUUAUAUAAUAUAUAUUUGUAUAUUUGAGAGAGAGAGUGAGCACAAGUAGGGAGGAGAGGCAGUGGGACAAGGAGAAGCAGAAUUCCUGCUGAGUGGGGAGCUUAAUGCAGGGCCCAUUGCAAUGUGGGGCUCAAGGCAAGGUUUGAUCCCAGGACUCUGAGAUCAUGACUUGAGCUGAAGGCAGACAAUCAGUUGACUGAGCCACCAAGCCAUCCCAUUCUUAUCAUUUUAAAUGGGCCUAUUUUGCUUUUGAAACCAAAAAGCAAUAUGGGCAAAUGAUCCUGGAGGGGGGAGGGUGGUCUCACUGCUUUUUUGGAUGGGUGAGCCCUCUCACUAUUUCUGAUUCUUGUUUUCCCUGAUUUUCAAGCUACACCAUGGCAUCCCAAGUGACUGAACACAUGGUUGUACUUUCCUGUUCAAUUCUUAAUAUAUCCCUCAGGACAUGAUUUUGAUUUUUGCCUUUCAGCUCUGCAUACCACAGGUGAAGGUAAGAAGCCCAACCUGUGCAGCCUUUCUACCAUUAUAACUGAAUAGCAUUAGGCUGAUAUUUAAAUAUUUCAACUGCUCACUUAGACCAUAAGUCAAAUUCUUUGCACUCGAGUUCCCUUUGGCUCUCUAGACACACACAGCAAAUUGUUUUUUAAUCUGGCAUUUAUUUUCACUUGACUCAUUUUUAAAGUCUUCUUCAUUUUUUUCUGUUCAUUUAUAACUCUAUUAGCUUGGAGACACCAUUCAUUUUGUGAGCAGUACUUUAAACACAUUUCAUCUAUCAGGAUUAAUUUUGCUGAAUGCACGACCAAAUAAAUACAUUAAAAACAACUGUAACACUUCAUUAAUCAAAAUGUCAACUACCACAGAUGUAAAAUGUCCCCCACUUUUAAAAUUCUCUUCCUUUGCUUGUGAGUGCUUGUCUGUUUGACUAAAAUAUAAAAAAGUGGUUAAAAAAUGCUGUCAUUCUAUUAGAAUAUGCAUGCAGAUUUGAAGGUGCAAUCCAUUAUAAUUAAGGCUAAUUAAUUAUUAUAUGGUCAAAUGAGCAACAAAUGCACAUGCAAAAUCUAAAAAGUUAAUUAUUUGAAAAUUGGUUAAUCAAUUGUGCAUUCAAAUGCACAUUUGUUUUAGCAUGCAGACAGUUUGCUCUUUUACAAGGAAUUAGUCUAGAUAAAAAACCAUUAAUGUAAAACAUUUUCAAAUAUCUCUGCUCUAUGGGGAAAGAAAAUACAUUAAGAUCAAAUGGAUCAGAUUCUUAAAAAUCAAAACUGCUUUUUCCAAUCAACAAUCCUCAAAAGAAAGACAAAAUAUUAGUAUGAAAUUAAUUUACAAUAGAGAAAAGAAAUCAGUCUAGAUUACCUACUUUGUGGGAGCCACUCAACCUGAACAUAAUUAAAAGGAAGUCUCCACCAUGUUAAGUGGCCUGCCACCUGCAUAAAGUCCCUCCAAAGGCUGGUGUCCAGAUGGAGUUGCUCUAUUUUAAAAACAAAACUAGGAUCAUGUAAGGAUGUACAAGUCCCUAGUCAACUAAGUGAUUUCAAACAAGUUCUUUUCAUCUUCAAAUUUCACAAGCUGCAUAACUUUAAAAAAGUGAGGGCAGCUCAAGAGACUAGCACCAUGGCAGCAAUAGCAAAACCCCUAACAAACUACAAGGAAGACAUGAGAAGAGUAGUUGCUGAAAGAACCCAUAGUACAUAUGAUUCAUUUUUUUGUAUAUUCAUCGGGGAGUCAAAGCUACUGAAAGCAGAGAAAAUGUUUUAUUGGCUCCUGAAUAUCAGAAAAAAAGAUUUUUUUCUUCAUUAAAGAUGAUUUCCCGGAAUCCUCUGUGGGAGAAGCAGGAGCAAAGUCACUAACUUGGGAGAGGAGAGGUGGCAGGGUAAAAGCACAGAGGUAAAAAUAAACUGAUCUCACUGUAAAAAAAUAUUCACUCGGGGAGAAUAGGCAAUUAAUUUGGAUACAACAAGGGCAUCAGGGCUCUGAAACAGCUUCAUGGAUUUGGUCUUUAUGCAAUGUAUAGUGGAGUCACUGAAGGUUUCUGGCUCAUAAUUAGGACUUCAUUUAAGUGAAAUUUUAAAAAGAUUAAUCUGAGGGCAACUGGGCACAGUGGUUGAGCAUCUGCCUUUGGCUCAGGUCCUGGGAUCGAGUCUUGCAUCGGGCUUCCGGUGGGGAACUGCUUCUCCCUCUGCUUGUGUCUCUGCCUCUCUCUCUCUCUGUGUCUCUCAUGAAUAAAAAAAAAAAA
rnacentral:lncRNA from 1 species